rnacentral:rRNA from 1 species
UACGUAGGGUGCAAGCGUUGUCCGGAAUUAUUGGGCGUAAAGGGCUCGUAGGCGGUCCAUCGCGUCGGGAGUGAAAAGCUGGGGCUUAACCCCAGUCCUGCUUCCGAUACGGGUGGACUAGAGGUAGGCAGGGGAGAUCGGAAUUCCUGGUGUAGCGGUGAAAUGCGCAGAUAUCAGGAGGAACACCGGUGGCGAAGGCGGAUCUCUGGGCCGAUACUGACGCUGAGGAGCGAAAGCGUGGGGAGCGAACAGG